rnacentral:rRNA from 1 species
UACAGAGGCCUCGAGCGUUAGGCGGAGUCACUGGGCUUAAAGCGUGUGUAGGUGGAUGCCUAAGUACCUUGUGAAAUCCCACAGCUUAACUGUGGAACUGCUUGGUAUACUGGGUGUCUUGAGCCACUCAGGGGCUACUGGAACAAACGGUGGAGCGGUGAAAUGCGUAGAUAUCACUUGGAACGCCAAUGGUGAAAACAGGUAGCUGGGGAUGUGCCGACGCUGAGACACGAAAGCCAGGGGAGCGAACGGG